GGCGCUGCUUCACCAGUUGUAUAAACCCGACUAAACAGUAAACCCGUGGUGUAUUUUAUCGUGAGUUCCCACUCUGAAACUUAAUAUCUAAACAUCAUGUUAACUUAUUAAUCUAAACAUUGAAGAAGGUAGCCUGUCAGGAACCACAUGGCAUUUCUGCGACCAUCAUCUCACAACAGACGCUCAGUGUUCCCCGGUGAGAUUGGGAGCUAGGCUGUGUGAAAGUCUCUUGGCUGCCGAGUCGGGGUCUCCACCUCAGCCACAUGGCCUCCUGGCAGCGGCCCUCUUUUGGACACCGGCAGCAGCUUGUGCCCCACGCCCCUCACAGAUGCUGUGUCUUGAGACAGAUGUGCACCCCAGCUCGAUAUCCAAAGAAUCUAGGUGGAGGAGAGGAGCUCGGACUUGCUGGGCAGGUGCAGCAGGCGUUUGGAGAGCCGGCGGGUCGGGCUGGGUUUGGCGAGCGGCUGUAGCUUGUUGAUGCAAGCCAGGGCAGCUGUGCGGAACACGCUGUGGAUGC